UACGUAGGUGGCGAGCGUUGUCCGGAAUUACUGGGUGUAAAGCGCGUGUAGGCGGGAGGCCAAGUCUGCGGUGAAAUCGCUCGGCUCAACUGGGCGGGGUCCGUGGAAACUGGUCACCUGGAGGACGGUAGAGGCGAGUGGAAUUCCCGGUGUAGUGGUGAAAUGCGUAGAGAUCGGGAGGAACACCAGUGGCGAAGGCGGCUCGCUGGGCCGGACCUGACGCUGAGACGCGAAGGCGUGGGGAGGCGAACGGGG
rnacentral:rRNA from 1 species